rnacentral:rRNA from 1 species
UACGGAGGGUGCGAGCGUUAAUCGGAAUGACUGGGCGUAAAGGGUGUGUAGGCGGUUUGAUAAGUUAGGUGUGAAAUACCCGGGCUUAACCUGGGAAGGUCACUUAAGACUGUCAGACUAGAGUAUAGGAGAGGGUAGUGGAAUUUCCGGUGUAGCGGUGAAAUGCGUAGAGAUCGGAAGGAACACCAGUGGCGAAGGCGGCUACCUGGCCUAAUACUGACGCUGAGACACGAAAGCAUGGGGAGCAAACAGG